GGGAUAGAAUUCCAGGAGUAGCGGUGAAAUGCGUAGAUAUCUGGAGGAAUACCAAAGGCGAAGGCAGUCCCCUGGUCCGAUACUGACACUGAGGUACGAAAGCGUGGGGAGCAAACAGGAUUAGAUACCCUGGUAGUCCACGCCCUAAACGAUGUCGAUUAGCCAUUGGAAGGACCCCUUUUCCUUUCAGUGACGUAGCUAACGCGUUAAAUCGACCGCCUGGGAAGUACGACCGCAAGGUUAAAACUCAAAGGAAUUGACGGGGACCUGAACAAGCGGUGAAUGAUGUGGAUUAAUUCGAUGCUACGCGAAGAACCUUACCUACCUUUGACAUGGCCAAAGUUCUACCGAGAGGCGGAAGUACUCGUAAGAGGAUUGGCGCACAGGUGCUGCAUGGUUGUCGUCAGUUCGUGUCGUGAGAUGUUGGGUUCAGUCCCGCAACGAACGCAACCCUUAUCUUUAAUUGCUCCUAUUUUAACAGAGCACUUUAAAGAAACUGCCAAUGAUAAGUUGGAGGAAGGUGGGGAUCACGUCAAGUCCGCAUGGCCUUUAUAGGUAGGGCUUCACACGUCAUACAAUGGUUAGAACAAAGAGCUGCAAAUUCGUAAGAAGGAGCCAAUCUCACAAACCUAACCUCAGUUCGAAUUGCGGUCUGCAACUCGAGCGCAUGAAGCCGGAAUCGCUAGUAAUCGUGGAUCAGAAUGCCACGGUGAAUACGUUCUUAGGUCUU
rnacentral:rRNA from 1 species